rnacentral:rRNA from 1 species
AUUGAACGCUGGCGGCAGGCCUAACACAUGCAAGUCGAACGGUAACAGGAAUCAGCUUGCUGAUUUGCUGACGAGUGGCGGACGGGUGAGUAAUGUCUGGGAAACUGCCUGAUGGAGGGGGAUAACUACUGGAAACGGUAGCUAAUACCGCAUAACGUCGCAAGACCAAAGAGGGGGACCUUCGGGCCUCUUGCCAUCGGAUGUGCCCAGAUGGGAUUAGCUAGUAGGUGGGGUAAAGGCUCACCUAGGCGACGAUCCCUAGCUGGUCUGAGAGGAUGACCAGCCACACUGGAACUGAGACACGGUCCAGACUCCUACGGGAGGCAGCAGUGGGGAAUAUUGGACAAUGGGCGCAAGCCUGAUGCAGCCAUGCCGCGUGUAUGAGGAAGGCCUUCGGGUUGUAAAGUACUUUCAGCGGGGAGGAAGGGAGUAAAGUUAAUACCUUUGCGCAUUGACGUUACCCGCAGAAGAAGCACCGGCUAACUCCGUG